UACACACAGUGCUUGGGCAGCGCGGUGUCUGAGAGCAGCCAUCUGUAGCUCCCUGCCGUGGUGAACAGUGCAGGAUGCCUCAGUGCAGGGCAGAGGGCACCUAACGAAGGUCACAUGAAAUCAUUCCAGGAGACGGGAAUGUGCUCAGCUGGCGCUGCUCCCACAACGGAGACACUCAGCUAAAGGCCCUCGGCUGGAGCGCUGUCCCCAGCUGCCACGUCUUUGAAGAUAGCAGGCCCGGCUGCACUGCAGGAAGAUGGACAGCUUCCUCGUCCAACUGCUGCGUUCACCCCAAACGACAGCAAGUGACGAGCGCCAGGCAAACACUCUGAGAUCCAGACAGCUUGAAUGGAUUCAUCUUAGGUGCCACACGAGGCACCUCCUAGUCUGACCUCCACAUGGAGGCAGUGACACAUGACCAACAAGGAGCACACCUUCAAGGCAUUGAUGACCGUCUCAAUGUGGGUCUUGACGGCCUCGUGGGAGAACUCAGAGCUGGCCAGCGUGCACAUGCUCUCCAGAGCCAGGUAGCGUAGGUUCGUCUCCCGGUGCUGCAGGAACUGGCCCAGCUGGUUGCAGGCGCGGACGAGCAAGUUUGGCUCACUGCAAGGAACAGGGGACAUGAUGAGGAGGGGAAAAUAGUCAGGGAGGGCUGUGAGCUACAGGUGAGGACAGAUGCAGUGGAGAGGUGCGGUGAGAAGGCAGCGCAGUGGUGAGAGGAGGCCCAGCGGGAGGCGCUGGAAGAGGUGGUGCAUAGGACAGAUGGCAGUCCAGGGAGGAAAAGCCUCGGUAAAGAGGACGCGAGGUGAGGAAUGAGAAGUGCGGUGUGAAGUGAUAGGACGGUGCUGUAAUGAGGGGUCAGGGAGGAGGAGGUGCAGUGAAGAGGGGGUGACUUUCUAAUGAAUCUGCAGGAGCUCCUCUACUCCAGAGCAGACUCUGGAAAGCUCUGGUAGGCCAAGGCUUCACUUUCUUUUGUUGUGUCCAGGAAAGUGAGUUGGACAGCGGCCAUGCAGGAAACUGGACCAGGCUAAGGCAGACAUUCAUUUUCAACCCUGCUCCAGUUUGGCAGACUGCUUUUGUCACUGCAACAUUUAUCUAAAUGAUGGAGCAAAAACAGCUGGUCCCAAACAGGCUAGAGUUCUGUCUGCUACAGCCUCUGGCAGAGACCCAGAGAGCAGUGCCACGGGCAUACAUAAGGGCACACAACCAGGACUGAGCAUAAAAGAGCAGAAGCAAGAUGCCUGCACUGUAUAUGACAACCACUGCCUGUGACCCAACCAUGACCCUGUACAGAAGCUGGGAGUCAUCACUACCACUGCCCCAGGAGACCCCAGAAUACUGGAGCAUUGCCUCUCUGAGCAGCGAAAGUCACACGGGUGUCCCUUCCUUUCAAAGAAGCUUCCUGUAAUACUCAGAAGCAAAAAGGAGCUCUAGGGACGAUUCCACAGCUAUAAAAGUAUCUAUGGCAACGUCCCGGGGCCAGAGAGCUCACAUGAAGUGAGCUCACAGCUCAAGAAGCAAGAGGAGCAGAGACCAAGGCUAGAAUAGAGACACCGGUCAACAUCUGCACAGACAGAUGCCAACUGCCAGCCUCCACCUGCUGUCUCUCGAGAGGGAUGCGCUGCUAGCAGGGCUCACCUGUCAUGGUGGAUGAUCAGGCUGAUGGCCUCAAACAGCACAGCGUUCUUGGCAUUUGAAUGCUGGACCUUCUUGGACUUGGGUGGCUCCUGGGCCUUGUUCAGGAUGGUCUCCAAGCACUCAGUCAGGCGGCCACGCACCGCAGGGUCUUCUGGGCAGGACACAACUGUCGGCUGGGCUCCCAGGCCCUCAUCCCACCAGCCCAGCCCCACACCCGGGCAAGAGGCUCCCGAGACACUGCCUGUCCUAUGGGUGCCUCUGACAAUUAUUCCCAGCUGCAGAUAAGAAGGGGAGCAUUUGUAAAUUGUCAUGGGACAGCUCCCUGCUGCAGUGUCAUAAACAUGAGGCAGGGAUGGAGCAGCUGUGGUACCUACACCUGCUUCUAAUUUGGAUGGCACUUAGACAGAAUGUGUUAAUCAUAAAGUCCAAGGAUUAUGGGCAAAACCUCUACGGAGCUUCAGAGACAAGGGAGCUUUGCUCUCGGUUAUCAACCCCAGAAACAAAAUAUAAAGCAACAUAAAGAGAAAGAAGAUUUCUAAUUUGGUUCAAAGCAGAAGGAAAAGACAAUGAGCAAAAAAAUUGAAGCCAGUCAUGUGGUACACACCUGUAUGAAAGCACUUAGAGGGCAGAGGCAGGAGGAUUAGGAGUUCAAAGAGAGUAAGUUCAAGGCCAGACUGAGUUACAUAAGACCCUGUUUCAUUAAAAACAUAAGGGCCAGUGAGACCGCUCAGUGGAUAAAGGCAUUUGCCAUCAAGCAUAAUGACCUGAGUUCAAUCCUCAGAAACUACACGUGGAAGGAAAGAACCAACUCCCACAGGUUGCCCUCGGGCCUCCACAUGCAUGCUAUGGCACGGCACCCACAAGGCACACACAGGCACACAGACAAAGUAAAGGUAAAAGCUAUUAAAACAAAAACCAGUUACAGUGGUAAGAGCCUGCUAUCCCAAUACUUGGGAGGUUAAGACAGGAGGAUUAUAGGGAAUUCCAGGACAGUCUAGGCUGUACAGUAAGAAACUAUUGUAAUAAAUAAAUUAAUUAAUAAAUUAAUUUUAAAAGAGGAGAAGGAGGAGGACAGAACAGAACCAAGGCUCCCAGUGAACUUUGUAUGUGAUACUCAAGUAGCUUGUGUGUGCACGUGUGAGGGGACAAAGGUCAGCCUCGGGUGCCAUUCCUCAGGAGCCACCCACACCCACAUUUUUGAGAUAGCAUCUCUGACUGGGACAUGAGACUUGUAGUAGCUCACAUUAGCUCCUCCAUGUCUGCUUCUCUGUGCUAGAGAAUGCACCACUAUGCAUGCUGCUGUAUUUUAGACUGAGCUCAGGUACUGGAGUCUGCCAUGCCAACACUUUACUAACGACCUCUCUCUGAAACACCUCCUAAUAACCCUUUAACCCUAAUAAACA
rnacentral:lncRNA from 1 species